rnacentral:rRNA from 1 species
GAUAAACGCUAGCGGUGUGCCUUAUGCAUGCAAGUCGAACGGUCUAUCGAAAGGUAGAUAGUGGCAAACGGCUGAGUAACGCGUAAUCAAUCUGUCCCUAAGUGGGGAAUAAUCUGCCGAAAGGCGGACUAAUACCGCAUGUGGUAGUGGAGGUAGGUUUCUACUACUAAAGCCUUCGGGCGCUUGGGGAGGAGUUUGCGUCCUAUCAGGUAGUUGGUGAGGUAACGGCCCACCAAGCCUAUGACGGGUAGCUGGUUUGAGAGGACGUCCAGCCAGACGGGGACUGAGACACGGCCCCGACUCCUACGGGAGGCAG